UACGGGGGGGGGCAAGCGUUUGUUCGGAAUUACUGGGCGUAAAGGGCCAGUAGGCGGCCAACUAAGUCGGAUGUGAAAUCCCCAGGCUUAACCUGGGAACUGCAUCCGAUACUGGAUGGCUUGGAUUCGGGAGAGGAAUGCGGAAUUCCAGGUGUAGCGGUGAAAUGCGUAGAUAUCUGGAGGAACACCGGUGGCGAAGGCGGC
rnacentral:rRNA from 1 species